AGGAGGCAGGGGUGGUCAUACUGGAUUAAUGCAGAAGCUUCCUGAAAUGUAGUUGGCUGAAUUGUCAUGCAGAGAACUUUAAUGUUAAACUCUGGCAAUGGAAAGUUUUCCUGGGGCUGGGGAUGAAAGGAUAUGAACAGAGAUUAGAAAGAACCUUUCUGCAAUAGCAGAAGGCCAGACAUCACCUGCGAAAACUGAUAAUAUGGUUCUUAUGGUGAAGACAAAUGGAGAAUGAAAGAAUGCUAAAUUUCAAACUCAUUCAGAGACUGUGGCUUUGCAGUUUUGUCAAUGCACUGAAAACUAUGGAAUAUUGACAUUCUCUUGUGAGAUAUAUACCAGCUCUCCUCUGCUUUACCCAUCACACCAUUCUGUCCUGACCUUUGACCUUCACAAUCCGUUUCCUGAAUGCUUACUUGUCUUCAGCCAACAUGGAUCUCCUGCAUCUGUUUUCAGCUGCUUUUAAACCCCAGAAUGUAUUGCUUUUGUCAAUAACAGCAGGAAUAAUGUUGACUCAAAGGGACACAUUCAUUGCUGGCAUAAUUCCACUAACUCCCAGCAGAGAAUUUAAACCAAAGUUUAAAGGAAACUUACUGAGGCCAGCAGGGCUGGUAGCUUUUGGCAGAAGUAGUCCCGCAUGUCCUGAGCAUGUUAGCAGCCAGAGGAUGAGGCAGGAUACACUGCUAGAUAACCCAGACUUCAUUUUCUUUUAAUCUGCCUUGACAAGGCCUUCUGUACAGUAUAAAUCCUAAGGUCUGUAUGACAUCAGCUUUUUAAAGCAUGGAGAGUUUGUAUUAGCAACUAAUUUUAUUUUUAUUACAUAAAAACACAAAACCCAGCAGCAACCAGAUCCUCUUAUUGGAUGCAGUCCCAAUUUCUGCUUUUCAAGAUGGAGGAUGACCUUUGAUCUCUGCAGCCUCAGCCACAUUCUUUCCUAACAGCAGCAGCUGUUCCACACAUUGUAUAAUAUUUAUGUUAGAGAGAAAGAAUGUGGAGGUCACUCAUGGGUAUUUUUUUUCUCCAUGAAAACUGCUUUUCUUUUUCCUCCAUUGUGCAGGAAAAUACCACCCAAUAUUUUACCUUUCUUGAACCCACUGAAAACUGGAAUCUUCACCAGUUGUUUGACUCUAUUUACUAAGCUCGUUUUUUGUGAUAGUCACUCUUAGAUGAUGUGACUGUCAAUACAUAACCCAGAUUACCAACUUUUGUGACCUGGAGGUUUAAAAGCAGCAGGAGCAAAAGGAACAUAAUUAAAGGACCCCUACAGCAUCAGUCCUACCAGAUUUACUGCUUUUGAGGGACCUGCAGCCUUGGAAGUGAAUUGACCUCAGCAAGUUCACCAGUGGAAUGAAAAGGGAAGAAGAGAUGGGGCAC